AAUAAGCGUCUGGCUAUGCGUAUUAUUUGGUAAAUGAAUUCUUUUUUGAUUUAUAAUACAACGAAGCGAAGAAACUUGAAAGUGUUUUACUUUUUUAAACGAUUUCCAGUAGAUAGAUGAUAAUGAGGUGUUUCAAAAUGUGCCCUUUAUUGAUUUACUUUUUUGUUGAUUAGGUGUAAACACUGUAACACAUUACAGGUAUAUUACUUACGCUAGACUUCCCGCCUAAUUGGAUUUGCAAUAAGUAUAGCUUUGAUGCUAAAAAAUUGUAUUUGCAUUUGUUUCUCUCGCUCUCAUUAAAACAUGUAACCGUUUUAUGGCCAUCAAUUGAUAAUCGAUUAAACGUCCUCUUUACUAACAUUUGGAAAAAAAAAAAAAAUUAACAAUUUUUUGGCAAACGUGUAUAAUGAAUGAGAACGAAUGUUCGAAAUUGUAAUUGGAAUUGUGUAAGCGGUUGCUAAUGAAAUGACAAAUUUAAUAUAACUUAAGGGAUUGCGCAUGCAAUAAACCGAAUGAAUCCAUGAAAGCAUAGACCCAUGCAUUCAGUGUGUAAUUUUAUUGUUGAUAAACAUCAUAAAACGAAAUCAUUGUCCGCAACGAAUACGAAAGCUGAACAAUUGCUACAACAAUAAUAAUGACGCGUGCUUACAAUCGAAUGUCAACCAGCAUAUCAUUCUGAGGUGCUUUACUAUACUUACUAGAGAUGUUGGGUUCGCAUUGCACUACCAUACUAUGGACAAUUGCCAGCCUGUCUGUCACUCUGUCUGCCUGCGUUUACUGUUCGUUUCUUCGUUGUUCAUACAAAGUCACAGUAGCUAAGUUAACUGGGCUGAAGACAACAAUAACGAAAAUAAUGUACAACAAAGGCAUUUUGAACUGGACAUAUAAUAUAUUACCAAUAUACCAACCAAUAAGCUCCGUUUGACUCUUUAUUUAUUCGAAUAUUGAACAAGCAACUUAAGAUUAGCGGUAUAAAUACUUUACUUCGGCCUUCUCUAGUGAUGGGCUUAAAAAUUUAAUUUUAAUUUAGAAAUAUCAGAAUUUGGGAAAACCUAACUGAUCUUUAGAAUAAUUCGUAGGUUUCCUUUUGUAUCCACUACUGAAGGAUGCGGGCACAUACAUUAUAAAGUGUAUAUAUUUUUGAUGAGUAUGAAAUUCUGAAUCUCUGCUCGCAAAAAUGAAGAUGUCAAAUUCAAAUUCGGUAGAAACAUUAGAAAUUCUUGCAUGCAAGUCAAUAUUUAAAACGGGACAACUUGAUAUAGUGAUACGCAGCCGGCACGUAACGCUGUGACAGGCAAAAAGGAGUCACGGAAGAGAGAAAGAGAUAGGAAAAGUGACCGCAUCACAGUGGGUGCGCGCCCAAUCGUCUAUAGAAUAUUUUGCCUUCAAGAAGUAGCCAACCCACCCUAUACUAAAUUUUAGAGUUGGUCUUCGUGGCAGACAUCGUUUGACGAUCAUCCACUUUAAUCGCAACGCUGACUGCCUAACAGAUAAUAUAACGAACUUCUACGUGGAUUACCUAUAUUUCAUAUUGGAUUUCUCUUUACGUUCAUAGUGCACUUAAUCAUGUAUUCGAAGUUGCUGAAUGAACAACGUAAGACUGUACGUCGAUUAAGCUUGUUCACCAACUCUGCUGUCCGUCGCUCGAUGGCAAGGGAAAGGUUAGAUGAGGAAUUUGAAGCAAAUAAAUUUUUCAACGUGUAUGCUUACAUAUGUGCAUCUGAAUGAACUCUUCGAGAUCACUAUGAUGUUGUUCAACUGGCAAUAUAUGAAUGGCUGAGUUGUAAAUCAUCAGACGUGCAUAUGUGCGUUUUAUAUAACUCUUAAAACAAAAAAAAAACA